CCUCCCCUCUCUACAGUGCGCAGCCGCCUUGGGCGUUAUGCCACCGUCUGGUGGUAGCCGCUGGAGGUGGUGAGGUGCCGACCGAGGGCCGCCGUGGGAGGAGGCGUAGUUGCCAGCCGAGGGCCACCCUUGUGGCAGGCCACCGCCGUUAGGACGGUACCCGCCUGUGUGGUAGGUUGCCGCCGGUUGGCGGGCGCCGGCCAGAGCUGAGCCGAAGGGGCGCCGCCGAAUAGGCGACGAUGCGGGUCGUGGCCGAGGGAGGGCGCCGCCUGAGGGAGGCGCGGUCGGUGGCUGAGGGAGGGCCGGGGCCGAGGGAGGCCCUGAUGCGGGUUUUGCCGCUGCCGCUUGAGGGAGGCGCCGUCGAACGCCGCCGCGGGGAGAGGCGAGAGGCGAGGCACGUUCGUCACUGGCUGAGGGCCGGGAGCGGGCAGAGCAAGCUGCCGCUCGGGAGGUCGCCGUGGCGGGGUUGCGCGAAAUGCGUCGCCGCGCCGUGAUGGGGCCGCCGCUAGCCACAGCGUGGGUGGUCCGAAGUCGCCUUAUGGAUGGUGCGCGGGCACCGCCGGAUGGGCGGACGUCACCAGAGGGUGAACGCCGUCGGCCGCAUUCUCCGGAAGCCAAAGCAGUGGCCGGGGAUCGAGGACGAAGUCGUUGAUGACGGCGUGUAUGGUGACGACAACGUCUGUGUUGAUAUUGACUUGGUGGCCGAAGGCACAGAGGAAGAACGAGGACACUACUGUGUGAUGACACUUGGUGCAAGAAACGACGGAGAAGGAGCCCUUCAGAUUCCUUGAGCCCCAAACGAUGAUGGUCUCGGUGAUGUAACAAGAUAAGGAAUCCAUUGUGGGAUAUUUGGCUAGGGCAAUGAGCCACUUUUCAAGGAAGGACUACCUUAUGGCCACCCACAACACGGGUGCCCAUUGGAUCUUACUGGUCAUUACCACCAAGUGAAACUUGGUCUGGUAUCUCGAUUCAGCAAUACCAGUAGUAGGACCUGAUGGCAAAUAGGGAGAACGUGACUGUACUUUGGUUAAAGGAAUUCUCGAUGAGGUUUUUGACAUGUGUAAUUGUUCUGAUCCAAAGUAUGAUCCGAAGGUGCCUCGCACACUGACACAUAAGACCGUCAUCACGCUUCUACGUUGCGUGUCAUAUGCUGCUAACCAUUGCAGCAAAGGAUAUGAAAUCCCAAGAUGAAUACAGUUUCCCGGACGUCAACAUCGAGGACUCUGCACUCUUCAACAUUCGAGGACGGAUUGCCUCAUUCAUAAUGACCGAAAUCGUCUCUCAAAAAGGCGAGUUCCAUUGUAGGGACCAAACAUCUUGAAUCUUAUGUAAGGUAUUUGUAUUAUCUUGAUGUGAACUUGCGUCGUUGUACGUUUUGAUUAUAGAUAUGCAGAUAUCUCAUGACUUUUGUUGCUACAAUGUGGAUAUCUUGAAAUGCAUGGUGAUUAUGGCAUCAAUGUUAUGAGUAAUCUCGAUGUAGAUAUUUGGAUGUGUACUAUCUUGUUUGCAGGAGAAGACGGCUAUCAAAUCCUGACAUUGCUUCAGGAUCAGCCAGGAAACAGGUAAAUCCCUUCGGGGGACUCGGUCAUUAGUGACGGGUGGUAACUUCACCCAUCACUAAAGAGUGUUACCACCUGUCACUAAUGGCAGAGUCUCAGCGACGGGUACCCCCGUCACUGGUAGCGGUCAUUAGUGACGGGUGAUGACCACAACCUGUCACUGAUGAGUCUGUCAUUAGUGAAGGGUUGUGGUUAUCACCCAUCACUAAUAGCCGAGUCCCAGUAACAGGUGGAAAGUUACCCGUCACUAAUGGCCGAGUCAUUAGUGACGUGAGGAAAGCUACCUGUCACUAAUGACCGUUACCAGUGACGGGUCACAUGCCUCCUUAGGCCAUAAGAGAUGCAUGUUAGUGAUGGGUCUCAACUAUUACCCGUUACUGGUGAUCGUCAUUAGUGACGCGUUCGGAGUGACGGGUAUAUAACCUGUCACUAACGAGGGUUAUCAUCCAUCACUAAUAAACUAUUCUGACAUAGUGAUCCUUAAUUACUCUUAUGAAUUGAGGUGAGAAUUUAGAUGUCCGUUCCACGUUCAGAUGAAACAAAUCCAACCAUAUUAAUGGACCAAACUCUGCUGCAAAUCCAAAAAUAAGCGUGUUUCGCUCGAGAUCUUCAGUAUCAGUUAGGAUUUUUGAAAGCCAAUGUCCCAGUUUACGCCUUUUUCCUCUUGUUUUACAUUGCAAUUUGUGGUUCGGGGCUCCAAAAAGUCUGGAGAUUGUGCUACACACACGGUGA